GAUGAACGCUGGCGGCGUGCCUAAUACAUGCAAGUCGAGCGAACAGACGAGGAGCUUGCUCCUCUGACGUUAGCGGCGGACGGGUGAGUAACACGUGGAUAACCUACCUAUAAGACUGGGAUAACUUCGGGAAACCGGAGCUAAUACCGGAUAAUAUAUUGAACCGCAUGGUUCAAUAGUGAAAGACGGUUUUGCUGUCACUUAUAGAUGGAUCCGCGCCGCAUUAGCUAGUUGGUAAGGUAACGGCUUACCAAGGCAACGAUGCGUAGCCGACCUGAGAGGGUGAUCGGCCACACUGGAACUGAGACACGGUCCAGACUCCUACGGGAGGCAGCAGUAGGGAAUCCUCCGCCAUGGGCGAAAGCCUGACGGAGCAACGCCGCGUGAGUGAUGAAGGUCUUCGGAUCGUAAAACUCUGUUAUUAGGGAAGAACAAAUGUGUAAGUAACUAUGCACGUCUUGACGGUACCUAAUCAGAAAGCCACGGCUAACUACGUG
rnacentral:rRNA from 1 species